UACGUAGGGUGCAAGCGUUAUCCGGAUUCACUGGGUUUAAAGGGUGCGUAGGAGGGCAGUUAAGUCCGUGGUGAAAUCUCUGAGCUUAACUCAGAAACUGCCGUGGAUACUACCGGUCUUGAAUAUCGUGGAGGUGAGCGGAAUAUGUCAUGUAGCGGUGAAAUGCUUAGAUAUGACAUAGAACACCAAUGGCGAAGGCAGCUCACUGGCCGAAUAUUGACUCUGAGGCACGAAAGCGUGGGGAUCAAACAGG
rnacentral:rRNA from 1 species